rnacentral:rRNA from 1 species
AGGACGAACGCUGGCGGCGCGCCUAACACAUGCAAGUCGAGCGAGAACCGGGACUUCGGUCCCGGGGACAGCGGCGAACGGGUGAGUAACACGUGGGUAAUCAACCCUCGGCACCGGGAUAGCCCGAGGAAACUCGGAUUAAUACCGGAUAGCCCCUCCGACUCUCGAGUCGGUCGGGAAAGGUAGCUUAGGCCUCUGGCCGGGGACGAGCCCGCGGCGGAUUAGCUAGUUGGUGAGGUAACGGCUCACCAAGGCGACGAUCCGUAGCUGGUCUGAGAGGAUGAUCAGCCACACUGGGACUGAGACACGGCCCAGACUCCUACGGGAGGCAGCAGUGGGGAAUAUUGGACAAUGGGCGCAAGCCUGAUCCAGCCAUGCCGCGUGAGUGACGAAGGCCUUAGGGUUGUAAAGCUCUUUUGGCGGGGAAGAUAAUGACGGUACCCGCAGAAUAAGCUCCGGCUAACUUCGUGCCAGCAGCCGC